GGCGAUCCAAAACCUGAGUUCGCAGUCGGCGCACAGUUUUAUUUCGAAUGCUUGUGAUGGUGUCCAUCUAUAUGUAAAGGAUAUCUUAACCUCCGUUUGCGAUAUCUUUGAUUCCCAACACAGCAGCAGUAAGGACUUGUCGCGCGGGUUAUUCCCGCUGCCGGCGCCUUCCUUAAACCGCCUGUAAAACCCGUAAAUCUUUGACAUUGACCGCGAGUCCCCCUUACUGCUGCUGAUGAUAGAGAUGGUGAGUUGGAAGAAAGAGCUAUGAUUGUCGUAUGCUUUGUGGAUAAAACUUUGAAUAGUAUUCGUAUGAUAUGUAAGAGGUGUGUGCGUUUGUGUGUGCUUGUAUGGUGAUAGGGAGGAUGGUGAGGUUGAAGAUAGGGCUAUCAUUGUCGGGUCUCUUUGGGUUAAACUUUGAACAUUAUUCGUAUGAUAUGUAAAGGUCGUACUUGAAGUAUUUGUGUGCACUUGUAUGGUGGUAGGGAGGGUGGUGAGGUAGAAGAAAGAAAGGGCUAUUAUUGUCGACCGUGAAUCUUGUGGAUAAACUUUAAGAUAAAKAUAUGCGAAUGAUAUAUUUGACGUGAAGUCUGUGUUUGUGUGCGCUUGUAUAGGUAGGGAGGUAGUUGUGUAGAACAAAGGGCUAUCUAUCAUUGCUCUGUGCUUUGUGGAUAACCCUUUCUUGUGAUUAAAUGUGAAAGCAUGCCACACAUAAAAUAGGAACUGUUGGUACUGUUCGUUCUAACGUCGUUCUUCAAUUUCAUAGGAGUUUUGACAGACAGACAGUGUGAAACAGCGGCCAGUCUUUUACCGCAUGAAGUCACUACUUUGCAGGAGCUGUUUUACACUCAGAUGGGAUGCAUCUGUGCGCCAUGGAAAUCGUUAAAUCCGAAAGAAGAGCCUUUGGUCACCCUGUGGAAAAAAGGAACGCAGACAAAGCUGUUUCUUGAGAGCCUGGGACUUGUUGAACAAAUUGAAGGAGAACAAAAGGUUGUUCUUUGUCCAAGGGAAUGUCAACUGUUGAAUGUUCUGUCAGUCUUCUACAAGGAUGUGGACUAGAAGUAAAGAAAAUAAAGAAUAUGAAUGUUAUGAAGUGAAUAUAUAAAAUAAUAAAUGGUUAUUUUUACUUUGA